rnacentral:rRNA from 1 species
UGGCUCAGAGUGAACGCUGGCGGCGUGCUUAACACAUGCAAGUCGAACGAGAACGGAUUAUAGCUUGCUAUAAUUGUCAGCUAAGUGGCGCACGGGUGAGUAAUGUAUAGGUAAUAUGCCUCUUACUAAGGGAUAACAAUUGGAAACGAUUGCUAAUACCUUAUACUCCUUGUUAACUUAAGUUAAUAAGGGAAAGAUUUAUUGGUAAGAGAUUAGCCUGUAUUGUAUCAGUUAGUUGGUGGGGUAAUGGCCUACCAAGACUAUGACACAUAACUGGUUUGAGAGGAUGAUCAGUCACACUGGAACUGAGACACGGUCCAGACUCCUACGGGAGGCAGCAGUGGGGAAUAUUGCACAAUGGACGAAAGUCUGAUGCAGCAACGCCGCGUGGAGGAUGACACAUUUCGGUGCGUA